GAGUCAUCUCAGUCACUGCUCCAGGAGCAAAUAAAUGGAAGGCAAGCUGCCAUUUUGAGAAGGGUAGCUUUCUGGUGGAGGUGCUGUUGGAGGAUUGAGUGUAGGUUUAAGUGAAUACUGGGCUUCAGUGAGGAGGAGCAAUUUUCUGCUGAAGACACAAGAAUAAAGGAGUGGUAGAAGGAAAUUUAACUGUGAGGUCACAGGCAUUGAUGAUUGGGUCUUAAAGAUGGACCAGAGACUGUUGGGAUCCUGCAACUCUGAGGGUUGCUAAGUUUGUGGAGACAGGUUUGUUGUAUGAGGCUAUUUUUUCUGGGUCUUUAAGUGCUUCAAUGCUGAACUUUUUCCAGCACCCUUCCACCAAAGGGACAAAUACAAGACGUGGCAGCACCCACACUCCAAACACCGGCACCUCCUUGACUACAUCAUCAGAUUGAGGGAUCGGAAAGUCUUUAAAAUCUCACAUGCCAUGACAGGAGCCAACAACUGCUGGAAGGACUGACCCAUGAUCAACAUCAAUAUAACAUGGCCAUGAAGGGACAGAUGUAAACAUUAGGACAAAUAUGUUAAAUUGAAGGCAUUAGAGAAAAAUGACAUGCAUCUUUCCUGAUCUCCACUUGCCAAACUGCUUUAUUGUCAAUGAUGUUCUUUUGAACUAUAGUCUGUGUUGCAAUUCUGUGACAUAGGAAACACAGAAGCCAAGUGCACAAAGCAAGUUCCUGCAAAAGUAAUGCGAUAACAAUCUGCUCUAAUGGCGUUGAUUUGAGGGAUAAAUAUUUUCCAGGGAAUUGAAGAAAUUUUCUGUUAUUUUACAAAAUAGUGCCAUAGAAACUUUCAUCUUCACCUGAGAGGGCACCAUAGAGCAGUUUAAUGUUUCAUCUGGUAAAUAGAACUUCAGAGUUCAGCAGUGUUUUGAUAAUCAUAAAUUUAUUGAUGUGAGAUGGGGCAUAUUGGAGUAGUCAGAGAUAACAAAAGCAUAGAUGAGAAUUUUAGCAGCAGAUGGGUUGAGGCAGGGAUGGAGGCAAGCAAUAUCAGGUGGAGAGGAGGAGGGUUAACAAGUCAGCUUGAGAUCAAAUUGGCUUUGGUCAAUAUAGCUCAACCUGGGAAGAGGACCAAAAUCUGUGCAAACAGUUUCCUGUACAUAGCAGGGUCACACACAAUGGCUACUGUCUUCCCAAUGCUUAGCUGAAGGAUGCUAUAGUUCAGUCAAAAUUGGACGUUGGGCAAGCUGUCUGACAACAUCAAGGCAGCUGAUGAAAACAUAAGAAUCGUCAUUGUUAAAAUACAAAUGGCAACUGACUCCAUGCAUUCUGAUGAUUCACCAAAGGGCACCAUGUGGAUUAAGAAAACGGUAUCUACAUAUUUCCAUUGACUUCUGGUCUAACAGAUAGAGAAGCUGCAGCUGAAGGCAACCAAUGGGCAGGUAAAAAUGGAACAAAACAAAAUUAGUCCCACUGAGUUUCAAAUACAAGAGAUAUGGUCUAUCGUGUCAAAGAUGAUAGGAAGGACCUAUUGGAAUAAUGCAUCAUUGUCACAGUCACUGAGGAUGAAACUGGUGACUCUAAUGAGACUUGCUUCAAUACUGUGGUAGAGGUGGGAGUCUGACUAGAAAAAUUCAAAGGAUUUGGAAAGAAAGGGGAGGUUGGGGAUGGGUUGAUACUUUACUAGACAUUGUGAUUUAGAAUGUUUAUCCAUUGUGUGCGUGGGGGUGUCAGUUGAUGAUGGCAACUGAAAUAAGGAGAGAAACUGAGUGUUUGUUGCUUUCAUGGAAAUGAUGGUCAAAGGAUCAAGCCUCCCUUUUGGAUCUCAAGGAUGUGUUUUAACUCUUGAGGGCAAGUUAGAAGACAGGAUGUCAACCAGAAAACAAUUGUUCACUUCUCUCAAAACUCGUUAUGGACUCUGUUUCCAAUAUGGUUUCUGAUAAGUCAUUGAGUAUCCAAGCAAACUCUAAGCCUAGCCAAUCAAUGAUCUUCUGAGUUUGAAUUCAGGCAUUCACUGAUCACGAAGUAUCUUUCCUUUACCAAAAAUUCUAAUAGUAAGCAAAGUCUCAUACCUGACACCAUCUUAAUAAAUGUCUUUCUAUAUUUUCAUUGGCCUUGAUGUUAUUCCUAAAGCAAAACACCAAAUACCAGAAACACAUGCACUGUGAUAAAUGUUUUACA